rnacentral:rRNA from 1 species
GUGUCAGCAGCCGCGGUAAUACGUAGGGUGCGAGCGUUAAUCGGAAUUACUGGGCGUAAAGCGUGCGCAGGCGGUUUUGUAAGCCAGAUGUGAAAUCCCCGGGCUUAACCUGGGAAUGGCAUUUGGGACUGCAAGGCUGGAGUGCGGCAGAGGAGACUGGAAUUCCUGGUGUAGCAGUGAAAUGCGUAGAUAUCAGGAGGAAUACCGAUGGCGAAGGCAGGUCUCUGGGCUGACACUGACGCUCAUGCACGAAAGCGUGGGGAGCAAACAGGAUUAGAUACCCUGGUAGUCCACGCCCUAAACGAUGUCGACUGGUUGUUGGGGGUUUGACACUCUCAGUAACGAAGCUAACGCGUGAAGUCGACCGCCUGGGGAGUACGGCCGCAAGGUUAAA